GAGUUUGAUCCUGGCUCAGCCUGAACGCUGGCGGCGUGGCUAAGACAUGCAAGUCGCACGGGUGUAGCAAUACACCAGUGGCGCACGGGUGAGUAAUGUAUCGCUAAUGUACCUUGGAGACGGGGAUAGCUGCCCGAAAGGGCAGGUAAUACCUGAUGAUAUAAUUCCGACGCCUGUCGGAAUUCUCAAAAGCAGCAAUGUGCUCUGGGAGCAGGCGAUAUCGUAUCAGCUAGUUGGUGAGGUAACGGCUCACCAAGGCGACGACGCGUAGCUGGUCUGAGAGGACGACCAGCCACAUCGGGACUGAGACACUGCCCGGACUCCUACGGGGGGCUGCAGUAACGAAUCUUCCGCAAUGCACGAAAGUGUGACGGAGCGACGCCGCGUGGAGGAGAAGUCCUUCGGGAUGUAAACUCCUGUCAGGGGAAAGAAAGUUCUGAUCUACCCCAGAGGAA
rnacentral:rRNA from 1 species